ACACGCCGAUCUGGAGAGAGGUCUUCAAUGACCCGCCGAAGGGGCACGUGGCCUUGGCCACCGAACUCUCAGGCAAAAGGACAGCGGGAGCG
rfam:Stenotrophomonas sp. LM091, complete genome.